UACGGAGGGAGCUAGCGUUGUUCGGAAUUACUGGGCGUAAAGCGCGCGUAGGCGGCUAUUCAAGUCAGAGGUGAAAGCCUGGAGCUCAACUCCAGAACUGUCUUUGAAACUAGAUAGCUAGAAUCUUGGAGAGGCGAGUGGAAUUCCGAGUGUAGAGGUGAAAUUCGUAGAUAUUCGGAAGAACACCAGUGGCGAAGGCGACUCGCUGGACAAGCAUUGACGCUGAGGUGCGAAAGCGUGGGGAGCAAACAGGAUUAGAUACCCUUGUAGU
rnacentral:rRNA from 1 species